rnacentral:ncRNA from 1 species
GUUGAAGCGAUGCGUCGAGGUUCCUCGCCUCAGGCAUGACGGCGGGGCUAAGACGGGAAGUCGGUGGUGUCCUUCGGGACAGAAUCCGGCGCUGCCCCCGCAACUGUAAGCGGCGAGUGGCGGUUCCAUUUUGUGUCACUGAGCGUCCGCAAGACGCUCGGGAAGGCCGGAGCCACUGCGAUGACCCGUGAGCCAGGAGACCUGCCUCCGACGCGAUAACGUU